UACAGAGGUCUCAAGCGUUGUUCGGAUUCAUUGGGCGUAAAGGGUGCGUAGGUGGCGCCAUAAGUCAGGUGUGAAAUCUCGGGGCUCAACCCCGAAACUGCACUUGAUACUGUGGUGCUCGAGUACUGGAGAGGAGAUUGGAAUUUACGGUGUAGCAGUGAAAUGCGUAGAUAUCGUAAGGAAGACCAGUGGCGAAGGCGAAUCUCUGGACAGUUACUGACACUGAGGCACGAAGGCCAGGGGAGCAAACGGG
rnacentral:rRNA from 3 species